UAGUCCACGCCGUAAACGAUGAGUGCUAGGUGUCGGGUGUCAAAGCUCGGUGCCGUCGUUAACACACUAAGCACUCCGCCUGGGGAGUACGUGCGCAAGCAUGAAACUCAAAGGAAUUGACGGGGACCCGCACAAGCAGCGGAGCAUGUGGUUUAAUUCGAAGCAACGCGAAGAACCUUACCAGGACUUGAAAUAUUGGCGCCCGCUUUAGAGAUAAAGUUUUUUCUUCGGAAACGCCAUUAC
rnacentral:rRNA from 1 species